AUCUGAUAAAAUGUUGUCGUCAGUACUAAGGUGUCCACAUAGUAUUACUAAUAAUGCUAAACUUUUCCAUCAUAACGAGUCUGCUACAACGCCUUUUCACUCAUCAAACAGAACCAUCACGAAAUGUUUGCCUCCGCCACAGUUGUGUUUGGGGUACAGGUGUUCAAAGAGGGAUGAACAAGUCACACCAUUUUCUGAGCUUUGAAAGAGGAGGAUAGUGUUUGGGAUAGUGGAGAUGUAUGGACGAAUCUUGCUCUCUAUGUGUUCACUCUCCAUAUCCCUUUCAGCUUUGGAGGCUUAUCCGUUGUUUCUUUGCUUUCCCGACAACCUCACCUUCACCCACAAAUUCAGGCCUUGUCACUUCUCACAAUUCAAAUUCUGGAGCUUUAUGGAGCUCUGAUUUUACUGAAGUACACGGCUAAGCCGCAACAUGAUUUUACAAAAUUAUUCAAAAAUACUAGCAAGUCAUUGAAUGACAGGAACUGGUUUCUAGCAUCAGCACUGGGAUUCGGGUUUCUCCUUCUUCUGAUUUUUCUCACAUCACUUCUUGCUGAUGGAUUAUUUGGACCUAAGGUUGGUAGAAAUUCAGAUCAUAAACUAUUACCGCAAAUUUUGUAGCACUUACCUCUAAGGUUUGAACUACAAGUUAGUAGAUUCAAGCCGUAUUUAACCAAUUUGAGUUGGUUGAGUGAUUAGCACUUAAACAAAUGUCGGAGUUUCGAAUCGCGCGUUGUAUAUACAACUCAUUAGCCAG